AACGAUCGCUGCUGCCCUACGCACGUUUGUUGGGGCAGGGGAGGAAAGUCCGGACUCCGAGGGGCAGUGUGCCGGGUAACGCCCGGGAUCGGCGCUUCAAGGCGACGAGACGGCCAGUGCCACAGAGAAGAUACCGCCCUGAGCAAUCGGGGUAAGGGUGAAAAGGUGCGGUAAGAGCGCACCGCGCCGGCAGUAAUGCAGGCGGCAUGGUAAACCCCACACGGAGCAAGACCAAAUAGGCGGGAAGACUGCCUCCGCGCAAGCAGAGGCAAGAUGCGUGCCGGCCCGGCGCGCCAGACUCGCGGGUAGGUUGCUGGAGCCAUGCAGCAAUGCAUGGCCUAGAGGAAUGAUCGUUCAGGGCAGCAAUGCCCGGACAGAAUCCGGC
rnacentral:RNase_P_RNA from 1 species